ensembl:miRNA
CGAAAAGUCACAAUCAACAUUCAUUGCUGUCGGUGGGUUGUGUUGUUGAAGGAAAAACUCACUGAUCAAUGAAUGCAACUGUGAUUGGAAUGGA